UGCCAUAAUUGCGAUUUGUUUUUAAGACUUUUCGUCUAACAGAGUUUUACUUUCUCAGUUCUCUUCUGUAAGAGGUUUACUUUCUCUUCUAUAAGAGUUAAUUCGGAAGUGGAACCAUCCAAAUCUUGUUGGUUUUAUUCAAAGAGUGAAUCUUUCCGUGGUUGAUUUAUCAUUUUCACCUUUCUCGAUUUUCUUCUCCGCUACUAGUUCCUUUUUUGAAAUCCUAUUUUUUGCUCUUUUUUUUUUCUUUUGGUAUUCUCAAAUUUCGCGUCUUGAGAUUUGGGUUUUUGAUACUGUUUUUCCGUGAAGAGUGUGGACUUCUCUGAGAAAAAUGGUCGUUCAUCUUCUGGUCAUUUGAAAAGAUGGCACAAAUUCUCAGAAUCCAACAUUUUGGAAUUUGCUAGCUCUUAGAAAAAAAUGGCUCUGGCUUUUAUCACUGCUUUGGUGUUUGCUUGUUUAUGGUCAUCUGUUUCACCAGAUGGUCAAGGGGAUGCACUAUUUGCGUUGAGGAGCUCGUUACGUGCGACUCCUGAACAGCUAAGCGACUGGAACCAGAAUCAAGUAGAUCCUUGUACUUGGUCUCAAGUUACUUGUGAUGACAACAAGCAUGUUACUUCAGUUACCUUGUCUUACAUGAACUUCUCGUCGGGAACUUUAUCUUCACGAAUAGGAAUCUUGAAAACUCUAAAGACUCUUACAUUGAAGGGAAAUGGAAUUACGGGUGGAAUACCAGAAUCCAUUGGAAACCUCUCUAGCUUAACAAGCUUGGAUUUGGAGGAUAAUCAGUUAACUGGUCGCAUACCAAUCACUCUCGGUAAUCUCAAGAACCUCCAGUUCUUGACACUGAGUAGGAAUAACCUAAAUGGGACUAUCCCGGAUUCACUCACAGGCCUUUCAAAACUGAUAAAUAUUUUGCUGGACUCAAAUAAUCUCAGCGGUGAGAUUCCUCACGGUUUAUUCAAAAUUCCAAAAUACAAUUUCACAGCAAACAUCUUGAGCUGUGGUGGCACUUACCCUCGCCCUUGCGUAACCGAGUCCACUCCUUCAGGUGAUUCAAGCAAUUCAAAAACUGGAGUUAUCGCUGGAGUUGUUACCGGGAUCACAGUUAUUCUCCUUGGAUUCUUUCUGUUUUUCUUCUGCAAGGAUAAGCAUAAAGGAUACAGACGCGAAGUGUUUGUAGAUGUUGCAGGUGAAGUGGACAGAAGGAUUGCGUUUGGACAGCUGAGAAGGUUUUCAUGGAGAGAGCUUCAGUUGGCAACAGAUGAGUUCAGCGAAAAGAACGUUCUUGGACAAGGAGGCUUUGGGAAAGUGUACAAAGGAGUGCUUUUGGAUGGCACGAAAGUCGCAGUGAAAAGAUUGACUGAUUUUGAACGACCAGGAGGAGACGAAGCAUUCCAGAGAGAAGUCGAAAUGAUAAGUGUAGCUGUUCAUAGGAAUCUGCUUCGCCUUAUCGGCUUUUGCACUACACAAACCGAACGCCUUUUGGUGUAUCCGUUCAUGCAGAAUCUAAGUGUUGCAUAUCGGUUAAGAGAGAUUAAACAUGGCGAUCCAAUUCUGGACUGGUUCAGGAGGAAACAGAUUGCGCUAGGCGCAGCACGAGGACUCGAAUAUCUUCAUGAACAUUGUAAUCCAAAGAUCAUACAUCGAGAUGUGAAGGCUGCAAAUGUGUUACUAGAUGAAGAUUUUGAGGCAGUGGUUGGUGAUUUUGGUUUAGCCAAGUUGGUAGAUGUUAGAAGAACCAACGUGACCACUCAGGUCCGUGGAACAAUGGGUCACAUUGCACCUGAAUGUAUAUCCACAGGAAAAUCAUCAGAGAAGACUGAUGUUUUCGGGUAUGGAAUCAUGCUUCUGGAGCUCGUAACAGGACAAAGAGCCAUUGAUUUCUCGCGGUUAGAGGAAGAAGAUGAUGUCUUAUUGCUAGACCAUGUGAAAAAAUUGGAAAGAGAGAAGAGAUUAGGAGACAUUGUAGACAAGAAGCUUGAUGAGGAUUACAUGAAGGAGGAAGUUGAGAUGAUGAUACAAGUUGCCUUGCUGUGCACGCAAGCAGCACCUGAAGAACGACCAGCCAUGUCGGAAGUUGUGAGGAUGCUCGAAGGAGAAGGGCUUGCAGAGAGAUGGGAAGAAUGGCAGAAUCUUGAAGUCACGAGACAAGAAGAGUUUCAGAGGUUGCAGAGGAGAUUUGAUUGGGGUGAAGAUUCGAUUAACAAUCAAGAUGCCAUUGAGUUAUCUGGUGGAAGAUAGAAAAUGGAGAUUGCGCUAGGCGCAGCACGAAGACUCGAAUAUCUUCAUGAACAUUGCAAUCCAAAGAUCAUACAUCGAGAUGUGAAGGCUGCAAAUGUGUUACUAGAUGAAGAUUUUGAGGCAGUGGUUGGUGAUUUUGGUUUAGCCAAGUUGGUAGAUGUUAGAAGAACCAACGUGACCACUCAGGUCCGUGGAACAAUGGGUCACAUUGCACCUGAAUGUAUAUCCACAGGAAAAUCAUCAGAGAAGACUGAUGUUUUCGGGUAUGGAAUUAUGCUUCUGGAGCUUGUAACAGGACAAAGAGCCAUUGAUUUCUCGCGGUUAGAGGAAGAAGAUGAUGUCUUAUUGCUAGACCAUGUGAAGAAAUUGGAAAGAGAGAAGAGAUUAGGAGACAUUGUAGACAAGAAGCUUGAUGAGGAUUACAUGAAGGAGGAAGUUGAGAUGUCUAAAACCAGAGAGGUUGCUGGGUCCAGUGGUUUAUAUCGUUUCCGGUUAAAUAGAUAUUUUGGUUUGUUUUUUGUAUUGAUCGGUUUAGUAGAAUGGGAAGAAACUCCGUCAAUGUUUCAGACUCC